UGCAGGUGGAAAAGUCAAAUUUUAUAGAUUCAGAUGAGACUUCUAGAUAUAAUGUCUCCUGUGAAUUGAAGGUAAAUUCCAUUUAAGUUUAACUUGAAUUGUUACUCUGCUUAUUGAUUGAAAUUAUGACUGCUAACAACUUAUGUAAUAAUGAUGUGUUGCUAAAUUAGCAAACAAAUGAUAAUAAUGUCGAUUUGCUGUUUUGGUCUACCCAAUUACGAUGUUCAUUGUUUCUACUCAGUUGCUUGGUUAGAUUUGCGUAUGUGUUCCUUGGGGAAAACUAGCAAGCCACUGUAUUUAUUUUUUAUUUCCCUUUGUGUUGGUGUUGUUGCUCAGUUGGGCUGAAGCUUUAUGAUGUCACAAAAUCAGUCACUCUUGAUUACCUCGGUGUGAGAGUCUUUCGCAUGGCAACUUGUUUGCCGUAGAAAACUUUUGCAUUGUUAAGCGAGACAAAAUUUUCUUUGAAAUUGAGAAGUGACAUUUCUAUCAAUCAGAAAGCAUUCUCAAUCAACCCCAAUUUCUAUACGCACUCACCGACACUGAUAGCCACAACCGCAUUCAAUAAUAAAGGAAAGAAAAAUAGAUGUUGUGAUUGUUUUUUUUCUUCUUCAAAGUUCUAUAUAACCAAUUGUGAUUUCUUUCUUGUAGUUCACCAAUCUUCACUUAUAACUAAUGCGAAGUUGGAGGAAAAAAAAUUGUAGUCCCCGAAAAAUAUAUUACAUGGCGUAUAAGUAAAUACAGUUUAAACCAUAAUUAGCUUAAUGACUUAAAUACGUCCAACUUAAAUUUCACAAUCUCUUAUACAAGUAUUUGAGAAGAAUAGGGGUGUUAGUUUAGAGCAAACAUAUGCAUUGGUUUCAUUUGGACGAUGGAUAGUGUUAUUUAGGGAAAAAUUGAAUUAGGGUUGAGUUAAGAGGCCACCUUUUUAUAUUAGUAAUCAGAAAUAAACCCUCAAUAAUAACUUAAUAAUAAAAAAGACAUAUAAGCUAAUAUCUAACACUCCCCCUUAAGCUGGUGCAAAGAUAUCUCUAAUGCCCAGCUUGCUGAGAAUGUGAUAAAACGGUCUACUAGCCAUCCAUUUAGUUAGAAUAUCAUCCAGUUGAUCUCCGGUCUUCACAAAUAGAGUACAAAUUAGACUCUCCUUUAACUUUUCCUUGAUAAAGUGCCUGUCAUCUCCACAUAUUUGGUUUUAUCAUACUGGAUCGGAUGCUGUGCAAUAUUAAUAGAAGCUUUGUUAUCACAAUACAGUUUUAUAGACCCUGAUGGUGCUAAUUUCAGCUCCGUCAAGAUUAUCUUUAUCCAUAAUAAUUCACACUCCUUGGGCCAUGGCAUAAAAUUUUGCCUCCGCACUCGAUCUAGCAACAACAGUCAGUUUAUUAUGAAAUAAAAUACUAGAUCAUUCGCUUUGACACCAAAUUUGACGUUGCACUCGUACUCAAUCUAAGCAAUAACAGUGAAUAGAUAAAGAAAUAGAGAAGGGGAGAGGAAAGUUUGGCUUCACACUAGAAUUUUAAAAGAAAGAGGGAAGAAACUAGGUUUUAUUUUUCCAUUCAUAAUCAUUUGUCCCUAGAUUGUAACAAAGUUCUAUCUAAAUAGAGAAAAGAGAAUAAAAUAGAAUAACCCCUAAACAAUAAUAACCAAAUAAAUAAAAAGAAUAAAUAAAAAUACUACAAAAUAAAAUAGGCCCAAUGGGCAUAAUGAAACCAGGUAAGCCCUUUUGGUCCUAUGCCCAUAGAAACGGCUAAUAGUAGGUAUAGGCUCCAUCGAGUUUUCUUCACCCUGGCCACCAACUCCCCCAGGGUGAAGAAAACUCAACUUCAUCGAGUGUGAAGCUGGACGACUCUGAUAAUACUCGAAUAGAUUUCUGUCAAUUUGUUGUAAAUCAUCAUUGGAACCAAAAAACGAUGAACACCACCAUCCUAGUGUUAUUAAAGGCAAGAGGCACAAAAGCCUGUAGAGCCUUAGGCGCGAGGCGAGGCAUUAUGAGCACACAACUUUGAUAGGAAUGUGUUGAGCAAAAGACUCGGUUGACUCUGACACUCUAGUGUGUGGUGACAUAGGCAAAAGAUCUACCGACUUUCUAGGUUUAAACCCUUGAGGCUUGAACAAUUUUAAAAGAACUCAUACCAAUAGACCUAUUGAUAGAACUAUUAUAAACAAACUGAGCAGUAGGAAGAAUAGAAUCCCAAUUCCUAUAACUAUCAUAAGCACCGAAGUUUCCAAGACGUCGAUUGACGACCUCACUUUGGCCGUCAGUUUGCGGAUGGUAGGCUGUAGAGAAUUUGAGUUUGGUUCCUAGCAUGUGCCAAAAGGUUUUCCAGAAAUAACUCAUGAAAUGAACAUUCCUAUCAGAAACAAUGGACUUGGGAAGUCCAUACAAUUUGACGAUCUCAUUAAAAUAAAGCUUGGCAACCUGAGAAGGGUCGGAAGUCUUAGAGCAUGGGAUAAAUUGGGCCAUUUUAGAGAAAUGGUCCACAACGGCAAAAAUAAAAUCGUGCUU
rnacentral:lncRNA from 1 species